UACGUAGGGGGCAAGCGUUGUCCGGAAUCAUUGGGCGUAAAGAGCGCGUAGGCGGCCCAGUAAGUCCGCUCUGAAAGUCAGGGGCUCAACCCCUGGAUGCGGGUGGAUACUGCUGGGCUAGAGUCCGGAAGAGGUGAGUGGAAUUCCUGGUGUAGCGGUGAAAUGCGCAGAUAUUCGCAAGAACACCAGUGGCGAAGGCGGCUCACUGGCCCGAUACUGACGCUGAGGCACGAAAGCGUGGGGAGCAAACAGG
rnacentral:rRNA from 1 species